ACUGCCAUAUCGGUGGUGGUGUAACGACUUUUACGUUACGGCCGUUAUUACUAAUCUAUCUUCAUUCAGGCUAGCUUAGCUGGGACAGUCGGCGGCAAAAAAUUGACCCAUGAAAUCAUUUGAACGAUUUCCUUAGGUAUUUUUUAUAAUUGUUUUGUUAGGAUUUUAUUCACUGUGUGCAUCUACUCAAUCUCCGUUCGACCAUGAUUCAGUGCUCACAUUCUAAUCUCUCCUUCUUCGAGUGUUUGCAAUGUCUCACAAUGUUAGGGUACCGGGUAGUACUGGCGUGGUGAUGCCGCCACUGAUUUUCGUGACCGUGCGCUACUGGCGCGGUGAUGCCGCCACUGAAUUUCGUGACCGUGCGCUACGUUUUGGAAACUGAGGCUUUGUGACGAGCGAACAGCUUUUCGCUUACUAGUUCAAGCGACCGCUAACAGCUGUGAACACCAAUCUUGUCAGGAGCACGGCACAUCUUCCGGAUAAUAGUAUCAGCGUUGUUAUGGCCAUGGCCUAACUCUCUUCACCUAGAGCUGUGGAAUUCUACUCCCUCCACAGUCCCCCACCCGACGUCUAAUGGCUAGUUUUGAAUGUAGCUUUGGGUGGACAUGCGAGUCCCUGUAACAGCAAGAGAAGUUGCUACAAACUUCACGGAACGUCUACAAGAACAUUGUCAUGGGUCCAUGGACCAGAGCUGAACUCUGCUUGGUUACAACUGCCUCAUAGCAAGCAAUUUUGGAACAACAAUUUCAGCCAAUGGCUGCACACAGUGACAAUUGGAUGUAGUUCUUGUUUCUGCAUGGAGUGGCUGCUGUUUGUCCAUGGACUGGCUGCUGUUUGUCCAUGGAAUGGCUGCUGUUUGGCCACAGAAUGCCUGCUAUUUUGCCACGGCAUGCCUGCUGCUUGGACACGGAAUGCCUGACAUUUGGCCGCGGAAUGCCUGACGUUUGGCCUCGGAAUGCCUGACCUUUGCCCACGGAAAGCCUGACGUUUGGACACAGAAUGGCUGCACGGUGGUUUCGGUACGCUUGGCACGUAAAUACCUGCAAACAUGUACAAGUGUCUCUGCAAGGAAACGGAUGGAGUUCAUGUCCACGGGUCACUUUGCUAGUGACUGAAAGGAGAAGAUCUACCGGCAUACUUCUGGAAACGUUCUCCUCACCUCCAGAAGCGCCGUUCAUAUCAAUAUUCACAGCCAUACUUGUUCCUGUGUUGCCAGCUGCUACAUUCUGUGAUCCAAUGGACAUUCUACCAAAAGAUCUACCGGCAUACUUCUGGAAACUUUCUCCUCACCUCCAGAAGCGCCGUUCAUUUCAAUAUUCACAGGGCCAUACUUGUUCCUGUGUUGCCAGCUGCUACAUUCUGUGAUCCAAUGGACAUUCUACCAAAAGAUCUACCGGCAUACCUCUGGAAACUUUCUCCUCAUCUCCAGAAGCGCCGUUCAUUUCAAUAUUCACAGCCAUACUUGUUCCUGUAUUGCCAGCUGCUACAUUCUGGGAUCCAAUGGAAAUUCUACCAAAUUGGCCAGGUUCACCGGCAGUGUUUUCGUGAAGUCCUGAAAAGAGGUCUUGUUCGCAGACAAGGGCACACAGCCUUGUCAUGGACUUGGGGCGUCAAUGGCUGCAUAUGGCAACUGCUAGUUUGUCUGAAAACUACAUCUCACAACCUCAGUGGAUCCAGCUUGCCCAGUAUUGGAGAGACUCUGAUGAUCUUAGCCAUCCGAAACCACCAAGCCAACUGAAGUUGAGAGUAUUAUGUUGUCUGAACCUGUCAUCUCCCUGCCGUUCUUGUGUUCUGUGUGCGUAUGGUGAUGGGUGUGUCAUCAGCUAAUGCAUGGCUGACUAGCUACACUCCCCAGCAUGCACUCUCUCAUACUUGACUCUAAGGCAAAGUGACUGAGUAG